GUCUAUGACCAUACUACCCUGAACACGCCUGAUCUUGUCUGAUCUCAGAAGCUAAGCAGGGUCAGGUCUGGUUAGUAUUUGGAUGGGAGACCGCCUGGGAAUACUGGGUGCUGUAGGCU
rnacentral:rRNA from 1 species